UGGAAAUUUCCAAUGUAUCUU
rnacentral:piRNA from 1 species